AUUGAACGCUGGCGGCAGGCCUAACACAUGCAAGUCGAGCGGAUGAAGGGAGCUUGCUCCUGGAUUCAGCGGCGGACGGGUGAGUAAUGCCUAGGAAUCUGCCUGGUAGUGGGGGAUAACGUCCGGAAACGGGCGCUAAUACCGCAUACGUCCUGAGGGAGAAAGUGGGGGAUCUUCGGACCUCACGCUAUCAGAUGAGCCUAGGUCGGAUUAGCUAGUUGGCGGGGUAAAGGCCUACCAAGGCGACGAUCUGUAGCUGGUCUGAGAGGACGAUCAGCCACACUGGAACUGAGACACGGUCCAGACUCCUACGGGAGGCAGCAGUGGGGAAUAUUGGACAAUGGGCGCAAGCCCGAUCCAGCCAUACCGCGUGGGUGAAGAAGGCCUCGG
rnacentral:rRNA from 1 species